rnacentral:rRNA from 1 species
UACAGAGGUCUCAAGCGUUUGUUCGGAUUCAUUGGGCGUAAAGGGUGCGUAGGCGGCGCGGUAAGUCGGGUGUGAAAUCUCGGAGCUUAACUCCGAAACUGCAUUCGAUACUGCCGUGCUUGAGGACUGGAGAGGGAUGUGGAAUUCCAGGUGUAGCGGUGAAAUGCGUAGAUAUCUGGAGGAACAUCGGUGGCGAAGGCGGCAUCCUGGACCGGUAUUGACGCUGAGGCGCGAAAGCCAGGGGAGCAAACGGG